AACGAACGCUGGCGGCAUGCCUAACACAUGCAAGUCGAACGAGACCUUCGGGUCUAGUGGCGCACGGGUGCGUAACGCGUGGGAACCUGCCCUUAGGUUCGGAAUAACUCCCCGAAAGGGGUGCUAAUACCGGAUAAUGUCUUCGGACCAAAGAUUUAUCGCCUUUGGAUGGGCCCGCGUUGGAUUAGCUAGUUGGUAGGGUAAAAGCCUACCAAGGCGACGAUCCAUAGCUGGUCUGAGAGGAUGAUCAGCCACACUGGGACUGAGACACGGCCCAGACUCCUACGGGAAGCAGCAGUGGGGAAUAUUGGACAAUGGGCGAAAGCCUGAUCCAGCAAUGCCGCGUGAGUGAUGAAGGCCUUAGGGUUGUAAAACUCUUUUACCCGGGAUGAUAAUGACAGUACCGGGAGAAUAAGCUCCGGCUAACUCCGUG
rnacentral:rRNA from 1 species